GUUCGAAUCCCACCCUCUCCGCCAAAUGCCCAGAUAGCUCAGUCGGUAGAGCAGGGGACUGAAAAUCCCCGUGUCGGUGGUUCGAUUCCGCCUCUGGGCACCAAAAUAUGGCGGUAUAGCUUAGUUGGCUAGAGCGUUCGGUUCAUACCCGAAAGGUCAUAGGUUCGACUCCUAUUACCGCUACUAAAAUUUAAUGUGGGCCAUUAGCUCAGUUGGUUAGAGCGCCCGGCUCAUAACCGGUAGGUCUGGGGUUCGAGUCCCUGAUGGCCCACCACAUUAAAUUAAUUAAUAUAAAUUCGAGGUGUAGCGCAGUUUGGUAGCGCACAUGGUUUGGGACCAUGGGGCCGGGGGUUCGAGUCCCUUCACCUCGACCAAUAUAAGGUGGGUAUAGCUCAGUUGGUUAGAGCGCCAGAUUGUGGCUCUGGAGGUCGUGAGUUCGACUCUCAUUAUCCACCCCAAUUCAUAUGGUCUAUUAGCUCAGUCGGUAGAGCACCUGACUUUUAAUCAGGGUGUCCCGCGUUCGAGUCGCGGAUAGAUCACCAAAAAGGUGGCGACAUAGCCAAGUGGUAAGGCAGUGGACUGCAACUCCUUGAUCCCCAGUUCGAAUCUGGGUGUCGCCUCCAAAAUAUUCCAAGGUAGCUCAACGGUGGAGCAACCGGCUGUUAACCGGUAGGCUGUGGGUUCGAGCCCCACCCUUGGAGCCAAAAAAGCCGAAGUGGCGGAACUGGCAGACGCACAGGACUUAAAAUCCUGCGGGACUUACCUCUCGUACCGGUUCGAUUCCGGUCUUCGGCACUUAUAAAACAAUAUCGCGGAGUGGAGCAGUUGGCAGCUCGUCGGGCUCAUAACCCGAAGGUCGUAGGUUCAAGUCCUGCCUCCGCAACCAUUAAAAUGGCUCGUUGGUCAAGAGGUUAAGACACCGCCCUUUCACGGCGGUAACAGGGGUUCAAUUCCCCUACGAGUCACCAAUUAAAUAUGCGGGUGUAGCUCAAUGGUAGAGUUCUGGCCUUCCAAGCCAGCUGUGAGGGUUCGAUCCCCUUCACCCGCUCCAAAAAUGGGACCAUAGCUCAGCUGGGAGAGCACCUGCCUUACAAGCAGGGGGUCACAGGUUCGAGCCCUGUUGGUCCCACCAUUUGCGGCCUGGUAGUUCAGUUGGUUAGAAUGCCAGCCUGUCACGCUGGAGGUCGAGGGUUCGAACCCCUUCCAGGUCGCCAAAAUAAAAUGCUGGUGUGGCUCAACGGUAGAGCAGCUGACUUGUAAUCAGCAGGUUGUAGGUUCGAUUCCUAUCACCAGCUCCAUGUAAAAUUAAUACGGAGGAUUUCCCGAGCGGCCAAAGGGGGCAGACUGUAAAUCUGUUGUCAUCGACUUCGGUGGUUCGAAUCCACCAUCCUCCACCAAAAAAUGCGCGGAUGUGGCGGAAUUGGCAGACGCACUAGACUUAGGAUCUAGCGCCAUUGGCGUGGGGGUUCGACUCCCUUCAUCCGCACCAUUUUUGUUUGAUAUACAUAUAUAAAUUGUGGGUGCAUAGCUCAGCUGGAUAGAGCAACGCCCUUCUAAGGCGUGUGUCCGGGGUUCGAAUCCCUGUGCGCUCACCACAUAUAUUGGGGAUUAGCCAAGUCGGUAAGGCACAUGACUUUGACUCAUGUAUGCGUAGGUUCGAGUCCUGCAUCCCCAGCCAAAUGAUGUAUUACUAAGCUAUAUUUGAACUAUUUUUAUUUUAAAUAUAGUUAGGUUCAAUUUUAGAAUAAGUUUAAGUAUCCGAAUGUGGAGAGGUGUCCGAGUGGUUUAAGGAGCUGGUCUUGAAAACCAGUGACUUCGAAAGGGGCCGUGGGUUCGAAUCCCACCCUCUCCGCCAAAUGCCCAGAUAGCUCAGUCGGUAGAGCAGGGGACUGAAAAUCCCCGUGUCGGUGGUUCGAUUCCGCCUCUGGGCACCAAAAUAUGGCGGUAUAGCUUAGUUGGCUAGAGCGUUCGGUUCAUACCCGAAAGGUCNAUGAGUAGCGAGAUGUGGGUGAGAAUCCCACAGGCCGUAAACCCAAGGUUUCCAGGGGAAGGUUCGUCCGCCCUGGGUUAGUCGGGACCUAAGCUGAGGCCGAAAGGCGUAGGUGAUGGACAACAGGUUGAUAUUCCUGUACUACCGAUAACCGUUUGAGAGAAGGGAUGACACAGUAGGAUAAGCUAAGCACACUGUUGGUUAUGUGUGCCCAAGCAUUGAGGCAGUCAAAGUAGGCAAAUCCGCUUUGAUAAUGCUGGGAUGUGAUGGGGAGCGAAAUUUAGUAGCGAAGUAGCUGAUUUCACACUGUCAAGAAAAGUCUCUAUCGAGGUUAAAGGUACCCGUACCGCAAACCGACACAGGUGGGUGAGGAGAGUAUCCUAAGGCCAGCGAGAGAACUGUUGUUAAGGAACUCGGCAAAAUGACCCCGUAACUUAGGGAUAAGGGGUGCCACCAUCAGGUGGCCGCAGAGAAUAGGCCCAAGCGACUGUUUACCAAAAACAUAGGUUUCUGCUAAGUCGCAAGACGAUGUAUAGGAGCUGACGCCUGCCCGGUGCUGGAAGGUUAAGGGGAUCUGUUAGAGCAAUCGAAGCAGUGAACUUAAGCCCCAGUAAACGGCGGCCGUAACUAUAACGGUCCUAAGGUAGCGAAAUUCCUUGUCGGGUAAGUUCCGACCCGCACGAAAGGCGUAACGAUUUGGGCACUGUCUCAACAACAGACUCGGUGAAAUUGUAAUUCCGGUGAAGAUGCCGGAUACCUGCGACAGGACGGAAAGACCCCAUGGAGCUUUACUGUAGCUUGACAUUGGGUCUUGGUACUACAUGUACAGGAUAGGUGGGAGGCUUUGAAACCAGGACGCCAGUUUUGGCGGAGCCAUCCUUGGGAUACCACCCUUGUAGUACUGGGACUCUAACCAUAGGCCAUGAAUCUGGUCUUGGGACACUGUCAGGUGGGCAGUUUGACUGGGGCGGUCGCCUCCCAAAAGGUAACGGAGGCGCUCAAAGGUUCUCUCAGUACGGUCGGAAAUCGUACGUAGAGUGUAAAGGCAAAAGAGAGCUUGAUUGCAAGACAUACAGGUCGAGCAAGGAUGAAAAUCGGACUUAGUGAUCCGGUGGUUCUGCGUGGAAGGGCCAUCGCUCAACGGAUAAAAGCUACCCUGGGGAUAACAGGCUUAUCUCCCCCAAGAGUCCACAUCGACGGGGAGGUUUGGCACCUCGAUGUCGGCUCAUCACAUCCUGGGGCUGUAGUAGGUCCCAAGGGUUGGGCUGUUCGCCCAUUAAAGUGGUACGCGAGCUGGGUUCAGAACGUCGUGAGACAGUUCGGUCCCUAUCCGUCGCAGGCGUAGGAAAUUUGAGAAGACCUGUCCUUAGUACGAGAGGACCGGGAUGGACGUACCUCUGGUGUACCAGUUGUCCUGCCAAGGGCAUGGCUGGGUAGCUAUGUACGGAAUGGAUAAGCGCUGAAAGCAUCUAAGCGCGAAGCCAACUUCAAGAUAAGAUUUCCCACCGCAAGGGUAAGACCCCAGAAAGACUAUCUGGUUGAUAGGUCGAAGGUGUAAGUGCAGCAAUGUAUUUAGCUUAUCGAUACUAAUAGGUCGAGGACUUGACCAA
rnacentral:rRNA from 1 species